rnacentral:rRNA from 1 species
CUUGAAAAAGGGAGUUCAAGAAGAGCUUCGAAGAAGCUUUCUUGAUGGAGGGGAGUGGCAGACGGGUGAGUAACGCGUGGGAACAUACCCUUAUCUUCGGAACAACUCCGGGAAACUGGAGCUAAUACCGAAUGUGCCCUUAGGGGGAAAGAUUUAUCGGAUAAGGAUUGGCCGGCGUUGGAUUAGCUAGUUGGUGGGGUAAAGGCCUACCAAGGCGACGAUCCAUAGCUGGUCUGAGAGGAUGAUCAGCCACAUUGGGACUGAGACACGGCCCAAACUCCUACGGGAGGCAGCAGUGGGGAAUAUUGGACAAUGGGCGCAAGCCUGAUCCAGCCAUGCCGCGUGAGUGAUGAAGGCCCUAGGGUUGUAAAGCUCUUUCGCCGACGAAGAUAAUGACGGUAGUCAGAGAAGAAGCCCCGGCUAACUUCGUGCCAGCCGCCGCGGUAAGAC